rnacentral:ncRNA from 1 species
CAACCUCAACUCAUAUGGGACUACCCCUUGAAUUUAAGCAUAUUAAUUAGGGGAGGAAAAGAAACUAACAAGGAUUUUCUUAGUAGCGGCGAGCGAAAAGAAAUCAGUUCAGCACUAAGUCACUUUGUCUAUAUGGCAAAUGUGAGAUGCAGUGUACGGAACAUCAACAUUCUAGUAUGAGAAGUUAACGAUUUAAGUCCUUCUUAAAUGAGGCCAUUUACCCAUAGAGGGUGCCAGGCCCGUAUAACGUUAAUGAUUACUAGAUGGUGUUUCCAAAGAGUCGUGUUGCUUGAUAGUGCAGCACUAAGUGGGUGGUAAACUCCAUCUAAAACUAAAUAUAACCAUGAGACCGAUAGUAAACAAGUACCGUGAGGGAAAGUUGAAAAGAACUCUGAAUAGAGAGUUAAAUAGUACGUGAAACUGCUUAGAGGUUAAGCCCGAUGAACCUGAAUAUCCGUUAUGGAAAAUUCAUCAUUAGAAUUGUAAUAUUUUAAACAAUAUUAUAAUAAUAGUGUGCAUUUUUUCCAUAUAAGGACAUUGUAAUCUAUUAGCAUAAAUAUUUAUCAUAAAAUUAUGUCUGAUUGCUUAUUUGAAUUAUAUGCUUGGCAUUUUAACAUAAAAUAAAAGAUAUAAAAUUGAUAAAGUGCUGAUAGAUU